rnacentral:rRNA from 1 species
GGGAUUGGCGAUUGGGACUAAGUCGUAACAAGGUAGCCGUACCGGAAGGUGCGGCUGGAUCACCUCCUUUCUAAGGAGCA